rnacentral:rRNA from 1 species
GCGUUAGACGAACGGUCUGGAAAGUCCGACGAUACAGGGUGAUAGUCCCGUAGUUGACGACGUGUGUUCAGUGAAAUCGAGUAGGGCGGGACACGUGAUAUCCUGUCUGAAUAUGGGGGGACCAUCCUCCAAGGCUAAAUACUACUGACUGACCGAUAGUGAACCAGUACCGUGAGGGAAAGGCGAAAAGAACCCCUGUGAGGGGAGUGAAAUAGAACCUGAAACCGUGUACGUACAAGCAGUAGGAGCAGGCUUUGUCCUGUGACUGCGUACCUUUUGUAUAAUGGGUCAGCGACUUAUAUUCAGUGGCAAGGUUAACCAUCUAGGGGAGCCGUAGGGAAACCGAGUCUUAACUGGGCGUUCAGUCUCUGGAUAUAGACCCGAAACCAGGUGAUCUAGCCAUGGGCAGGUUGAAGGUUGAGUAACAUCAACUGGAGGACCGAACCGACUAAUGUUGAAAAAUUAGCGGAUGACUUGUGGCUAGGGGUGAAAGGCCAAUCAAACCUGGAGAUAGCUGGUUCUCCCCGAAAGCUAUUUAGGUAGCGCCUCGGACGAAUACUACUGGGGGUAGAGCACUGUUAAGGCUAGGGGGUCAUCCCGACUUACCAACCCUUUGCAAACUCCGAAUACCAGUAAGUACUAUCCGGGAGACACACGGCGGGUGCUAACGUCCGUCGUGGAGAGGGAAACAACCCAGACCGCCAGCUAAGGUCCCAAAUUACUACUAAGUGGGAAACGAUGUGGGAAGGCUCAGACAGCCAGGAUGUUGGCUUAGAAGCAGCCAUCAUUUAAAGAAAGCGUAAUAGCUCACUGGUCGAGUCGGCCUGCGCGGAAGAUGUAACGGGGCUAAGUAGUAAACCGAAGCUGCGGCAAUGUGCUUUUGCACAUUGGGUAGGGGAGCGUUCUGUAAGCGGUUGAAGGUGUGUGGUAACGCAUGCUGGACGUAUCAGAAGUGCGAAUGCUGACAUGAGUAACGAUAAAGGGGGUGAAAAACCUCCUCGCCGGAAGACCAAGGGUUCCUGUCCAACGUUAAUCGGGGCAGGGUAAGUCGACCCCUAAGGCGAGGCCGAAAGGCGUAGUCGAUGGGAAACGGGUUAAUAUUCCCGUACUUCUUACAAUUGCGAUGGGGGGACGGAGAAGGCUAGGUGGGCCUGGCGACGGUUGUCCAGGUUCAAGUGCGUAGGCUUAAGAGUUAGGUAAAUCCGGCUCUUUUUAAGGCUGAGACACGACGUCGAGCACCUACGGGUGUGAAGUCAUUGAUGCCAUGCUUCCAGGAAAAGCCUCUAAGCUUCAGAUUGUAAGGAAUCGUACCCCAAACCGACACAGGUGGUCGGGUAGAGAAUACCAAGGCGCUUGAGAGAACUCGGGUGAAGGAACUAGGCAAAAUGGUACCGUAACUUCGGGAGAAGGUACGCUCUCGACGGUGAAGUCCCUCGCGGAUGGAGCUAUUGAGAGUCGCAGAUACCAGGUGGCUGCAACUGUUUAUUAAAAACACAGCACUGUGCAAAAUCGUAAGAUGACGUAUACGGUGUGACGCCUGCCCGGUGCCGGAAGGUUAAUUGAUGGGGUUAGACUUCGGUCGAAGCUCUUGAUCGAAGCCCCGGUAAACGGCGGCCGUAACUAUAACGGUCCUAAGGUAGCGAAAUUCCUUGUCGGGUAAGUUCCGACCUGCACGAAUGGCGUAAUGAUGGCCACGCUGUCUCCACCCGAGACUCAGUGAAAUUGAAAUCGCUGUGAAGAUGCAGUGUACCCGCGGCUAGACGGAAAGACCCCGUGAACCUUUACUACAGCUUGGCACUGAACAUUGACCCUACAUGUGUAGGAUAGGUGGGAGGCUUUGAAGCACGUACGCCAGUAUGUGUGGAGCCGUCCUUGAAAUACCACCCUUGUAGUGUUGAUGUUCUAACGUCGACCCCUUAUCGGGGUUGCGGACAGUGCCUGGUGGGUAGUUUGACUGGGGCGGUCUCCUCCCAAAGAGUAACGGAGGAGCACGAAGGUGGGCUAAUCACGGUUGGACAUCGUGAGGUUAGUGCAAUGGCAUAAGCCCGCUUGACUGCGAGAAUGACAAUUCGAGCAGGUGCGAAAGCAGGUCAUAGUGAUCCGGUGGUUCUGAAUGGAAGGGCCAUCGCUCAACGGAUAAAAGGUACUCCGGGGAUAACAGGCUGAUACCGCCCAAGAGUUCAUAUCGACGGCGGUGUUUGGCACCUCGAUGUCGGCUCAUCACAUCCUGGGGCUGAAGUCGGUCCCAAGGGUAUGGCUGUUCGCCAUUUAAAGUGGUACGCGAGCUGGGUUUAGAACGUCGUGAGACAGUUCGGUCCCUAUCUGCCGUGGGCGUUGGAAGAUUGAAGGGGGCUGCUCCUAGUACGAGAGGACCGGAGUGGACGAACCUCUGGUGUUCGGGUUGUGUCGCCAGACGCAUUGCCCGGUAGCUAAGUUCGGAAUCGAUAACCGCUGAAAGCAUCUAAGCGGGAAGCGAGCCCUGAGAUGAGUCUUCCCUGAUACUUUAAGUAUCCUAAAGGGUUGUCGGAGACUACGACGUUGAUAGGUCAGGUGUGUAAGUGCUGUGAGGCAUUGAGCUAACUGAUACUAAUUGCCCGUGAGGCUUAACCA